AGAGUUCAGUUUACAGGGUUAGGAUAUGAGUGAUUAUGGACAAUGUUAAAUUAAUUGAGUGUGAUUACAGUUUGCAGGCCUAAUCGUAGUCAGCUCUAGUUUAUGUUAUUAAUGUCAGUAUCAGUGAGGCUGAUGUUCAUGUCUGCAGUAACAGUCCAGAGGAAUCCAAGAGAAGAAGGAGCUCAGGGCCUGAGGUGGACAAUCAUAGACAGUAGUCAACUCUAGUUCUAUGUUAUUUAUGUCAGUGAGGCUGAUGUUCAUGUCUGCAGUAACAGUCCAGAGGAAUCCAAGAGAAGAAGGAGCUCAGGGCCUGAGGCGGACAAUCGUAGACGAUGCGGCUAAAGUCAGGCAGGUCUGCAGCAGCCAUCAGUUCGGAGCAACCAAGGGGCAGGGGGUGUCUGCAGCAACGGUCCAGAGGAGCCAAAGAGAUGGAGGAGCUCAGGGCCCAGGGUGGACAAUCAGGGAUAAUGCAGCUGGGGUCAGGGAGUUCCGCAGCAGACCGUCUGCAGCAUUAGUCCAGUGGCAGCUAAGAGACUCAGAGACACUCAGAGAGAGAGAAAUCUGGUUAGUGACUUAUAUGGGACAUAAAGAUCUAAAGAAGAGAUAGAGACAGACUCUAGCUCAGUAUGCCAGAUAGCCCCGGCAGUCUAGACCUAUAGCAGCAUAACUAAGAGCUGGUUCAAAUCAGCCCCGACUAUAAGCUUUAUCAAAGAGGAACGUUUUAAGUCUACUCUUGAAAGUUGAGAGGAUGUCUGCCCCCCGAACCUCGAGCGGUAAAUGAUUCCAGAGGAGAGGUGCCUGGUAGCUGAAAGCUCUUCCUCCAAUACUACUUUUAGAGACAUUUGGUACAACGAGCAGGCCUGCAGACUGUGAGCGUAACGGUCUAGACGGAAAGUACGGUAUAACAAGCUCGUCGAGAUAUGAUGGAGCCUGGCCGUUUAGCGCUUUAUAUGUCACAAGGAGGAUUUUAAACUCAAUUCUAGAUUUAAUAGGGAGCCAGGGAAGAGAGGCUAAGACAGGAGAGAUGUGCUCCCUUCUUCUGGUUCUAGUCAGUACCUGAGCUGCUGCAUUUUGGACCAGCUGAAGAGUCCUUAAUGACUUACUGGAGCAGCCUGAUAAGAGAGAAUUACAGUAGUCCAGCCUAGAGGUAACAAAGGCAUGGACCAGUUUUUCUGCAUCACUCUGAGACAGUAUGCAUCUAAUUUUUGAGAUAUUGCGCAGGUGGAAAAAGGCUGUCCUGGAAAUUUGUUGAAUGUGGGAGCUAAAAGACAAAUCCUGAUCAAAUAAAACUCCCAGAUUUCGCACAGUGGGGCUGGAUGCCAGGCUGAUGCCAUCAAAUGUAGCUAAAUUACUAGAGAAUGCCUCUCUAAGGUGUUUAGGACCGAGGACAAGAACUUCAGUUUUGUCUGAGUUGAGCAUCAGAAAGUUGUUGGUCAUCCAGGAUUUUAUAUCCUUGAGACAGGCUUCCAACCUGGCAACCUGGCCUGCUUCCUCCGGCUUCAUGGAUAAGUAUAGCUGGGUGUCAUCUGCAUAACAGUGGAAAUUAAUCGAGUACUUCCUCAUAAUUUUACCCAGCGGAAGCAUGUACAGGGUAAAGAGGAUCGGUCCAAGCACUGACCCUUGCGGCACUCCAUAGCAGACCUUGGUGUGUGCAGAGGAUUCAUUAUUAACAUGGACAAACUGGGAUCAAUCCGUUAGAUACGAUUUAAACCAGGAGAGAGCUGAUCCUGCUAUGCCGAUAGAUUGUUCCAGUCUCUGAAGCAGGAUGCAGAGGUCGAUCGUGUCAAAUGCAGCACUAAGAUCCAACAGGACGAGAACAGAGAGAAGACCACUGUCCGAGGCCAUGAGUAGGUCACUUGUCACCUUCAGCAGAGCAGUCUCUGUGCUGUGAUGGGUUCUAAAUCCAGACUGGAAAUCCUCCAAUAAACCGUUGUUAUGAAGAAAAUCACAAAGUUGAUUCGCAACAACUUUCUCCAAGACUUUAGAAAUAAAAGGAAGGUUGGAUAUUGGUCUAUAGUUGGCUAGGGUGCUUGAGUCAAGAGUAGGUUUUUUAAGGAGAGGCUUAAUUAAUGCAGUCUUGAAAGACUGGGGAACAUAUCCUGUUGAUAAAGACGUGUUAAUCAACUUAAGCAGGGACGUACUGAUCAAAGGAAGAGUUUCCUUCAGCAAUUUAGAUGGAAUUGGGUCCAAAAGACACGUAGAUGGUUUAGCUGCCAGCACCACUGACUUUAACUCAGGAAGGUCAAUAGGUGCAAAGUUACUAAGGUGCACCAGAGGCCUUAGGGGCUCCUCAACAUUUUUAGGGUUAUCUAAGAGAGAGACACCUGAUGAAGGCAAAAGGUUACUAAUUUUACCUCUUAUUUUUAGGAUUUUAUCAUUGAAGAAGCUCAAGAAGUCAUCGCUGCUGAGGGCUAAUGGGAUACAUGGUUCAGCGGUGCUCUGACAGUCCAUCAGCCUGGCUACAGUGCUGAAGAGAUAUCUGGGGUUAUUCUUAUUUUCCUCAAUAAGAGACGAGUAGUAAGUUGUCCGAGCACGUCGUAGGGCCUUCUUAUAUUUAUCAAGACAUUCCUGCCAGAGAAAACAAGCUUCAGCUGUUUUGGAAGACAGCCAAAUCCUUUCACAUCUUCUUAAUAACUGUUUCAGCUCACGGGUUUCAGCAUUAUACCACGGGGCUAGCCUCUCGCGUGUAAGAGUUUUCUGUCGAAGAGGAGCAACUGAGUCUAGAAUUGAUCGCAAUGUGCCUUGGUCACGGCACAUUGCAAUAUUAAAAGGUUUCAUUUACAGUGACAUUUAAAUCAGUGUCCUGUUUGUGUUUUGCAACUAGAUGCAGCUAGAUUGUAAAAAAAAUAAAAAGUCACAAGUUUUGAAGAUAAGCGACGUGGAUUGGGAGGCAGUGAAGGUGUUGCAGGAUGCACCAUGCAAAACCUUCACUGGCUUCAAGAUCCUCCUAAUCAAUUACAAAGCGCUCAUAAAAUCUUGUAAUUUAUAUCCUCCCCCUCCUCUUCUUCUUCUAAUGAUUAUCAAUACCAUUAACUCUAACAACUGUAGAGCCUCAACAAUGCAGAUUUAGUAUUAAAUAUUAAUAAUGUGUGUGUGUGUGUGUGAGUGUGUGUGUGUGUGUGUGUGUGUGUGUGUGUUAAACUCAAACGACAUGUGUGCCCAUGAUCAUUCCCGACCAAGGACAUUUACUUUCCCCCUAACCCUGCUGGAACAGCACACCCUAGGUGUUCCAGAACCUCUCCAAGGACAAAGUAAGCACUGGACAGACAUAUCCCCUCACACACACAUACCCAUCCAUAAUGGCUGACCAAAGGCAGAACAGUCCUCAUUCAGAAAGAUCCCCAGAAGGGAACAGUCCCAUCCAACUAUCAGCCAAACACCUGCCUCUCCACAACAUGGAAACUCCUGUCAAGCAUCAUUGCGGUGAAGAUAAGUGGGCACAGGGAUCAAUACAUGACAGAGGCACAGAAAGGCAUUGGUAAGAACCCCAAAGGAGUAAAACACCAGCUACUCGUAGACAGAACAGUGACUCGAGACUGCAGAACCAGACAGACCAAUCUGUGCACUGCCUGGAUUGACUACAAGAAAGCCUAUGACUCAGUGCCACACACCUGGAUCCUGGAAUGCCUGAAGCUGUACAAGAUCAACAAGACUCCAAGAGCCUUCGUUGCAAACUCAAUGAGACAAUGAAACACCACCCUUUAGGCCAAGUUUGAGCCAAUAGCACAAGUCUCCACCAAAUGUGGCAUAUAUCAAGGAGAUGCUCUGUUCCCACUGCUGUUCUGCAUAGGCUUGAAUCCCUUCAGCCAAAUAAUCAGCAAGACUGGCUAUGGAUACCAACUCUGAAAUGGAAUCACCAACAGCCACCUC